GUAGGUGGCAAGCGUUGUCCGGAAUUAUUGGGCGUAAAGCGCGCGCAGGCGGUCCUUUAAGUCUGAUGUGAAAGCCCACGGCUCAACCGUGGAGGGUCAUUGGAAACUGGGGGACUUGAGUACAGAAGAGGAAAGCGGAAUUCCAAGUGUAGCGGUGAAAUGCGUAGAGAUUUGGAGGAACACCAGUGGCGAAGGCGGCUUUUCUGGUCUGUAACUGACGCUGAGGCGCGAAAGCGUGGGGAGCAAACAGGGAUUAGAUACCCUGGUAGUCCACGCCGUAAACGAUGAGUGCUAAGUGUUAGGGGGGUUUCCGCCCCCUUAGUGCUGCAGCUAACGCAUUAAGCACUCCGCCUGGGGAUACGGCCGCAAGGCUG
rnacentral:rRNA from 1 species